GGUCAAGAGAGCCACCCACGCCUUCGGACAGUGGUGGCCGGCAACCGCGUCGCCCGACACGGUGCCUUCCGAAGAAGACCUGGGCUGCACCGUCCGGUGCGGCCAAGCGGGCACU
rnacentral:ncRNA from 2 species